rnacentral:rRNA from 1 species
GACGAACGCUGGCGGCGUGCUUAACACAUGCAAGUCGAACGGAAAGACCCUGCUUUUGUGGGGUGCUCGAGUGGCGAACGGGUGAGUAACACGUGAGUAACCUGCCCUUGACUUUGGGAUAACUUCAGGAAACUGGGGCUAAUACCGGAUAGGAGCUCCUGCUGCAUGGUGGGGGUUGGAAAGUUUCGGCGGUUGGGGAUGGACUCGCGGCUUAUCAGCUUGUUGGUGGGGUAGUGGCUUACCAAGGCUUUGACGGGUAGCCGGCCUGAGAGGGUGACCGGCCCCAUUGGGACUGAGAUACGGCCCAGACUCCUACGGGAGGCAGCAGUGGGGAAUAUUGCACAAUGGGCGGAAGCCUGAUGCAGCAACGCCGCGUGCGGGAUGACGGCCUUCGGGUUGUAAACCGCUUUCGCCUGUGACGAAGCGUGAGUGACGGUAAUGGGUAAAGAAGCACCGGCUAACUACGUG